rnacentral:RNase_P_RNA from 1 species
CUGUGCGACCGCACGAUGGCUCGUGAAGACUUCGGUCUGUUCACGAGAGGAAAGUCCGGACAGCAGAGUACAGGGUGCUUUGUGAAAGCAAGGGAUUCCGCCUCUGGCGGAAUACAGUUAGAGCAACAGAGACGAGCUUUGGCUUGCCAAAGAGUGAAACGGGCAAUCCUCCCCGCUGCAACCACCGACUUUCACCACAAUGGAAGUACUCCCUUUCUUGGUGAUACUGCCGUGGGCCACUAGAUAGAUCAUCGCACAAACAGAAUCCGGCUUACGAGUCGCACAGCACC